CUUUCGUGGUCCAUGAAUUGGGCUAGGAAAAAGGCUCUUCUGCUCCUGCCUUUCAGAAGAAGAUGGAACCAAGGGGGCUGCAGCUAGCUGAUGUGUGAUGAGCUGCCGUGUAUCAAGGAACUGAUGUCUUCAGCCAACAAGCAGCUAGAAUCUGAGGGGUUGAAACAGCCACAUGAGUGAGCUUGGAAGUUGGAACUUAUUGCCUGAGUCAAGCCUUGAGAUGACUACAGCCUUGGCAGACAUCAAGUGCCUGAGCCAGAGGACCCAGCUAAGCCACUCUCAGAUUUCUGACCUACAGAAUUCGUGUGAUAAUAUUAAUACAUGUUUAUUGUUUUAAGUUGCUGAAUUUGGGGGUGGGUUGUCACACAGUCAUAGAAAACUGAUACAGUUGGAAAUAAUUUUGAAAGGUGAAAGGCAUAGUAUGAAAUCUGAUUCUGUGGUAUGGAGGGGUUUCAAAGACUGGCAGAACAAUUUGGACAUGGUACAGAAGCCAUUGAAAGCUCUUUCUCUCAUAGCUUUAUGGAGAUAUAAUUCACAUACAAUAUAAUUGUCAUUUAAAAUGUACAACUCACUAGUUUUUAGUAAGUUAGCAGAGUUGUGAAAUCAUCACCACAAGCUAUUUUCAUACACUUUGAUCUGCCCCCAAACAAAGCCCAUACCAAUUAGCAGUCAUACCCCAUUUUGUCCCAAGCCCUAGACAACUUCUCUACUUUUUGUGUCCAACAAAUUUUCCUAUUCUGGACAUUUCAGGCAGAGUAAUAAAAUACAUGGCUUUUUGUGUCUGCUUCUUUUACUUAGCAUAAUACUUUAAGGUUUAUUGGUGUUGUAGCAUGUGUCAGUAUAUUUGUUGCUUUUUAUCGCCAAAUAAUAUCCCAUUUUACUAAGAGACCACACUUUGUUUAUUCGUUGGUCACUUCAUGGAUGUUUGUGUUGUUUCCAAAUUUUGGCUAUUAGAAAUUAUGCUGC
rnacentral:lncRNA from 10 species